CUUUGAGAUUCCCCCGGCUUCUAUCUCCUUUUCCCUCCCCUUGGAUCAAAUGAACAAAGGAGCGCAUUCUCUCUCUCUCUCUCUCUCUCUCUCUCUCUCUCUCUAAAAGAUUAAAAAAAAGCCUGCAUGUAGUGUUCUUUGACAAGGACAAGGAAGCCCUUUUACAUCAAUACAUCAUUCAUCUGGAGCACCUGAUCUGAUCGUGUGCGCUGGUUUACUGAACCUUGGGAGGGCUAUACGCUUCGUACGGGACAUACCAAUUUCAGAGAAUUCAGUUAUCAGGUAGGUGGUUCAAUCAUUCCUCCUUGUGGAUUUGUGGGAAGUCAGAGCUCGCAAGCAUCGCCAAAACUUAGAGAAAAAAUAGACCUGAACCUGAGA
rnacentral:lncRNA from 7 species